CAGCUUAACUGUGGGAAUUGCUGGGGAUACUAUUAAGCUUGAAGCCGGGAGAGGCUGGAGGUACUCCCGGGGUAGGGGUGAAAUCCUAUAAUCCUGGAAGGACCACCUGUGGCGAAGGCGUCUUACUGGAACGGACCUGACGGUGAGGAACGAAAGCUGGGGGAGCGAACCGGAUUAGAUACCCGGGUAGUCCUGGUCGUAAACGAUGUGGACUUGGUGUUGGGAUGGCUCCGA
rnacentral:rRNA from 1 species